rnacentral:tRNA from 1 species
GCCCCUAUAGUUUAAUGGAUAAAACGAGAGGCUUCUAUCCUUUUGAUGUGGGUUCGAUUCCUACUGGGGGCACAA